GACGGGGGAUGCAAGCGUUAUCCGGAAUCACUGGGCGUAAAGCGUCUGUAGGUGGUGAUGCAAGUCACUGGUGCAAAACUCUGGCUCAACCGGAGGAAAGCCAGUGAAACUGCAUGACUAGAGUGUGGGAGAGGUAGAAGGAAUUCCCUGAGUAGCGGUGAAAUGCGUAGAUACAGGGAAGAACACCGGAGGCGGAAGCGCGCAACUGGGCCUCAACUGACGCUGAGGUACGAAAGCGUGGGGAGCAAACGGG
rnacentral:rRNA from 1 species